rnacentral:lncRNA from 1 species
AUUCAAUUUAAAAUUUGAAUUUCAAUUCAAAACUUUAAUUCAGCCUUAAUUCAAAUUCAAAUUUCUAAUUUCUCAUUAGUUUAAAAUUUUAAUUUUAAUAUUAAUUUUGAAUUCAAAUUUAAAUUUAAAAUUUUGAAUUUUUAUUUUUAGGGACUAAAGUGAAAAACAUGCAAAGUUUAGGGACCAAAAUUAACCUGCAAAAGGAUGCCAAAUAGGCACUAACGUGGCGAUUCCAUUAAUUUUAACAAUUUUUUUAACGGCUUGGACGUAAUUGCAAUAAAAUCAAGAGAUUAGGGACAAGUGAAAAUUGGUGAAAAGGUUGGAGACCACUGGUGUAAUUAACCCGCAUUUAAAACUUCAAAAAAUCUAAUUUUAUGAUUUUUUGAUAUUAUUUAUCUUACGAUCAAAAGAUCUCAAAAUUAACAAUUUUUAACGGCCGAUAUGAGAUAUUUGCUGGUUUAACGGUGUAAAAAAAUCGAAAUCGGUUAAAUUUUUGAUAAAAAAUUCUAUUCACUAUUUAUAUAAAAAUCAAUAUUUCUAAUGUUAAAUUGAAGAAUCCAAUCAUCCAUUUUUAAGACAUCGUUCGAUUUUGACCGUUCAUUUUAUGCCCGCUUGAUUGAUUUUAUUAUGACUUCGAAAAAUUACGAAAUUUAUUAUUUAGAAGUUUCAAAUACUUUAAAUCAUAUUUAACCUAGUGGAUCGUCGAAUUAGAAGCUCUAUCUUCGAAAACAACUUAUGAGUUCGAAGGGCUCUAUACU